rnacentral:SRP_RNA from 2 species
GCUGGGCAUGGUGGUGCAUGCCUGUAGUCCCAGCUACUCAGGAGGCUGAGGCAGAAGAAUCGCUUGAACCCAGGAGGUGGAGGUUGCAGUGAGCCAAGAUCGCACCACUGCACUCCCACCUGGGCGACAGAGUGAGACUCCGUCUCAA